rfam:Stegodyphus mimosarum contig6647, whole genome shotgun sequence.
GCCUUCGUGGUGUACUGGUCAGCACGCUGGGCGCAUAUUCCAGAGGUCCUUGGUUCGAGUCCCCGUGAAGCCA